GCUGGGAGGAAGACGCUCUGCGCACGCGCAGAGCGUGGUACCGGAGCCGCGCACGGCUAGGGGAGGCUGAAGGGGGUGAGAGGCCCGGCGCACGCGCAGAGCCGCACAGCAUGGCCGCUACAAGACGUUAGGGGACCGAGAGUGAGGAGAGGUGCUCCUGCGUGCCCAAACGGAGACACUGGGGGCGCGGGGCAAGAUGGUCGUCGGGCGAGCCGAGGGGUGGGCCCUUUGCAGGCGGAAAACCCAGGUACAGCGUGUGCCUCCGAACUGGGCGGGCCAAAAGUCCUGACUUGAGUGGCCUGGUGCGCGCGGCCGCUCAGCGAGACUGCAAUGUGCCUGGGGAGAAAAGGCGAUGAAGACGGCACUGCGCAGGCUCACUGUGCCAGCGCAGGCGCGGACUGGAGGCCAGCGACGAGGCAGCCAAGCGGGCCGAGGAGAGAGGCUGGCCCUCUGUCCCCCAGCGUGUGUCGCCCAUCUCGCCCGCGGGUUCCUCUUCCGUGCUGUGCGCGGCCGCGCCGGGGCCUUUGAACGUCGGGGUCCGCGCAGGCCUGUGACGCCAUCGAGAGGCGACGGGAACCCCCGCGUGCCCUGCCCUGUCACCUCGCGAGAAGGAUUAAACCAUGGACCUUUACAGAUCGUGUGUGACCCCUUGGCGGUUCUGCCUCCCCCCCCCGGUCGGGUGUCAGGUAAAUCCGGAGUUCGUUAUCGCUUUCCUUCUGCGUUAUUGUCUCUGAAGGAGUAAUUGGAGUUGGCAGGUCGUGGCAGAUGAACACGUUCAAGUAUGUGACUGGUUUUAAAUAAAUGAAACUGUACUUUUACAUUCCCAUGGAAGAGAAAUGAGGUGUCAGAGGCCACACCUGCGGACAGAGUCCCACGUACGGGUGUACAAGGGGGGUGUGCGCUGCCCCGGGCCAGGACCUUCAGCUCCAGCUCGCCCUCCGUGACUGGGCUCCGCAUGUUCCAGGUCUGCUCAUCGUGCCAUCGCCAUACUCCUUCAUCCGUUUUCCUCAUCUCUCUGAUGCCCUUCCAUGUGCUCCCUCAUUCCUCCAUCAGCACUUUGAGACCUACCUCACACGGCACCUCUUUGUACCCUUUCCUGACCCUGGAGAGGACACGGAUCCCUCCUUUGUGGGCAUACUGUGCCCGAGGACUUAGACUUGCACAACCAGUUACUGAUGCCAUUCUGUACUGAUUGCACUUUGUGUCUCCCUGCCUCUUUUAAGAUACAGCGUGGACAUUGUGUCUUAUUUACACUUCCAGCCUCUCUUAACACAGUGCCUGGAGCUAACAGACACAAUAAACACUUGUUGCCUGGCCGGCUGAGUGAAUGAGUGAACAGAUACGGUUUUCUGAAGUUUCUGCCGUGUUCAGUACAGGGAAGUGGCAAAGCAGGCAACUAUGGAGAAUGAAGAGGGUGUUUAUGUUGUGGAGACAGUCUCCGAGACUGUAGACACAAGGCAAAGGUGUGACUCGGUUGGUGGUGCUGCUGUAGAAGAGGGGGAUUACUUACUGAAGAUGUGUUGAGCCAGAAACAGUAUUUGCAUCUUUUUAAAGAUCAGCUCUAUUGAGGUAUAACUUACAUAAAAUAAAAUGCAACCCUUUGGGUGUACGUUUUGACGAA